rnacentral:rRNA from 1 species
GAUGAACGCUGGCGGCGUGCCUAAUACAUGCAAGUCGAGCGAACAGAUGAGGAGCUUGCUCCUCUGACGUUAGCGGCGGACGGGUGAGUAACACGUGGAUAACCUACCUAUAAGACUGGGAUAACUUCGGGAAACCGGAGCUAAUACCGGAUAAUAUAUUGAACCGCAUGGUUCAAUAGUGAAAGACGGUUUUGCUGUCACUUAUAGAUGGAUCCGCGCCGCAUUAGCUAGUUGGUAAGGUAACGGUUUACCAAGGCAACGAUGCGUAGCCGACCUGAGAGGGUGAUCGGCCACACUGGAACUGAGACACGGUCCAGACUCCUACGGGAGGCAGCAGUAGGGAAUCUUCCGCAAAGGGCGAAAGCCUGACGGAGCAACGCCGCGUGAGUGAUGAAGGUCUUCGGAUCGUAAAACUCUGUUAUUAGGGAAGAACAAAUGUGUAAGUAACUAUGCACGUCUUGACGGUACCUAAUCAGAAAGCCACGGCUAACUACGUG